rnacentral:rRNA from 1 species
UACGUAGGGUGCAAGCGUUAAUCGGAAUUACUGGGCGUAGAGCGUGCGCAGGCGGUGAUGUAAGACAGAUGUGAAAUCCCCGGGCUCAACCUGGGAAUGGCGAUGGUGACUGCAAGGCUAGAGUUUGGCAGAGGGGGGUAGAAUUCCACGUGUAGCAGUGAAAUGCGUAGAUAUGUGGAGGAACACCGAUGGCGAAGGCAGCCCCCUGGGUCAAAACUGACGCUCAUGCACGAAAGCGUGGGGAGCAAACAGG